GGGUCAGUAGGCUGGUCGUGCCACCGGUACGUACUGGUCUCACUGAUUCCUCCUUCCUGAAGAACCGUAAUGCCACUAAUUUGGUGUUGCGGGGAAACAGGACUGUUACUUUGAAAAAAUUAGAGUGUUUAAAGCAAGCUAACGCUUGAAUACAUUAGCAUGGAAUAAUGAAAUAGGACGAUCGAUCCUAUUUUGUUUGUUUCUAGGAUUGACGUA
rnacentral:rRNA from 1 species